AUUGAACGCUGGCGGAAUGCUUUACACAUGCAAGUCGAACGGCAGCACGGGGCAACCUGGUGGCGAGUGGCGAACGGGUGAGUAAUAUAUCGGAACGUGCCCAAUCGUGGGGGAUAACGUAGCGAAAGUUACGCUAAUACCGCAUACGAUCUACGGAUGAAAGCGGGGGAUCGCAAGACCUCGCGCGAAUGGAGCGGCCGAUAUCAGAUUAGGUAGUUGGUGGGGUAAAGGCUCACCAAGCCAACGAUCUGUAGCUGGUCUGAGAGGACGACCAGCCACACUGGAACUGAGACACGGUCCAGACUCCUACGGGAGGCAGCAGUGGGGAAUUUUGGACAAUGGGCGCAAGCCUGAUCCAGCCAUUCCGCGUGCAGGAUGAAGGCCUUCGGGUUGUAAACUGCUUUUGUACGGAACGAAACGGUCUGCCCUAAUACGGCGGGCUAAUGACGGUACCGUAAGAAUAAGCACCGGCUAACUACGUG
rnacentral:rRNA from 1 species